GCGCCGGUGGUGUAAGGCGAACAUCGCUGCCCGGAAAGCAGAAGAUGCGGGUUCGAGUCCCGUCUGGCGCA
rnacentral:tRNA from 1 species